CCAAAUCGAUUAUCCUUAACUGUCUGGGAGGAUGCACAGUCACAUUGGGUCUGAAACAGCACCCAACUAUCGAAGGGGUAGCAGCAGUAGGGAAUCUUGACAAUGUGCUAACGCACGAUCCAGCAAUGCUUUAGAGGUGACGACGGUUCAAGAAAUCGUAAAAUCUUAUUAUAAAAGUACAAGGCGCUGCCAGACUGCUUUUAUAAUACAAGCUCCGACUAACUUCGUGCCAGCAGUCGCGGUAAUACGAGGGGAGCAAGUGUUAUUCGUACUGAUUGGGCGUAAAGGGUACGUAGGUUGUUAAUUAAGUUUGAAGUCAAAUUCUGGAGCUCAACUCCUGCAAGGCUUUUUGAUACUGAUUAACUUAGAGUAGUUGAGAGGAUAGUGGGACUCUUAGUGGAAAGAUAAAAUUUGAUGAUAUUAAGGAUACGAGGUUGCGCAGGCAACUAUCCAUUUACUACUGACACUGAGGUACAAAAGUAUGGGGAGCAAAUAGGAUUAGAGACCCUAGUAGUCCAUACCGUGACCUAUGAGUAUUGAAUUUGGAAUAAAUGUUUCAAUAUUUUGUUUCAUAAUUUAAGCUAACGCGUAAAUACUCCGCCUGGGGACUAAGGCCGCAAGGUUAAAACUCAAAGGAAUUGACGGAGGCCAGACCAAGUAGUGGAACAUGUGGUUUAAUCCGAUAAUCCGCGUAGAACCUUACCAAUUCUAGUCUAUACCAAGAGAUAUAUAGUAAUAUAUUCACUAAAUUUUGUGACAAUUUAAGUUAUUGUUUCAAAUGAGGUAUAAUCAGGUGUUGCAUGGCUGUCGUCAGUCCGUGUCGUGAGAUGUCGGGUUAAAUCCGGUAACGGACGCGACCCUCGGACUAAUUUUGUUUUUUAGUCGAAAGAUAAUGUAAUAUUAUAGGAAGGUGAGGACGACGACAAGUCGUUAUGCCUUUAUGAAUUGGGCUACACACGUGUUACAAUGGUAAUAACAAAAAGAUGCAAAAAUGUAAGUUUUAGCUAAUCUUUAAAUAUAAAUCGUAGUUCGGAUUAUCCUCUGCAACUCGGGGAUAUGAAGCUGGAAUUACUAGUAAUCGUAUAUCAGCACGAUACGGUGAAUUCGGAACCUGGUCUUGUACACACCGCCCGUCACGCCACGGAAGCAGGUUUUGUAUUAAAUAUCUGAAAGAUUUUAAAAAUAAUUAAAAAAAAAUAAAUUUGAUUUAUAUAUUUUUAAUUAUUUUUAAAUGAAUGUCAGAAUAUCGAUACAAGAUGGGCAACUG
rnacentral:rRNA from 1 species